rnacentral:rRNA from 1 species
GGAUGAACGUUGGCGGCGUGCCUAAUACAUGCAAGUCGAACGAAGACUGUAGUAAUACUGUCUUAGUGGCGAACGGGUGAGUAACGCGUGGGUGACCUGCCCCGAAGUGUGGGAUAACAGUCCGAAAGGAUUGCUAAUACUGCAUAAUAUCCAAGAGAUUAGACGCUUUUGGAUUAAAGGAGUAAUUCGCUUCGGGAGGGGCCCGCGUCCCAUCAGCUAGUUGGUAAGGUAACGGCCUACCAAGGCAAUGACGGGUAGGGGACCUGAGAGGGUGGCCCCCCACAAUGGAACUGAAACACGGUCCAUACACCUACGGGUGGCAGCAGUAGGGAAUAUUAGAAAUGGGCGGAAGCCUGAUCUAGCAACACCGCGUGUGCGAUGAAGGCCUUCGGGUCGUAAAGCACUUUUUGGAGGGAAUAGGAAGGAAGGUACCUCCAGAAUAAGUCUCGGCUAACUACGUGCCAGCAGCCGCGGUAACACGUAGGAGGCAAACGUUAUCCGGAUUCACUGGGCGUAAAGCGCGUGCAGGUGGUUUCGUAAGUAGGGCGUGAAAGCUCCCGGCUCAACUGGGAGAGGCCGUACUAAACUGCGGAGCUAGAGGAUGGUAGAGGGAGGUGGAAUUCCAGGUGUAGUGGUGAAAUGCGCAGAUAUCUGGAGGAACACCAGUGGCGAAGGCGGCCUCCUGGACCAUACCUGACACUCAGACGCGAAAGCUAGGGUAGCAAACGGAAUUAGAGACUCCGGUAGUCCUAGCCCUAAACGAUGCAGACUAGGCGUCGGCGGUUUAAUCACCGUCGGUGUCCAAGCUAACGCGAUAAGUCUGCCGCCUGAGGACUACGGCCGCAAGGCUAAAACUCAAAGGAAUUGACGGGGGCCCGCACAAGCAGCGGAGCAUGUGGUUUAAUUCGAAGCAACGCGAAGAACCUUACCAGGUCUUGACAUCCAGUAAAACUUGUAGAGAUAUGAGGUGCCUUCGGGCAUACUGAGACAGGUGGUGCAUGGUUGUCGUCAGCUCGUGUCGUGAGAUGUUGGGUUAAGUCCCGCAACGAGCGCAACCCUUGCCGAUAGUUACUAACGGGUGAAGCCGAGGACUCUAUUGGGACCGCCGGGGACAACUCGGAGGAAGGUGGGGACGACGUCAAAUCAUCAUGCCCCUUAUGACCUGGGCUACACACGUGCUACAAUGGCCGAGACAGAGAGGAGCGAAGGCGCGAGCCGGAGCGGAUCUCAAAAAAGCGGUCACAGUUCGGAUUGUGGGCUGCAACCCGCCCGCAUGAAGCAGGAGUUGCUAGUAAUCGCGAAUCAGCAUGUCGCGGUGAAUACGUUCCCGGGCCU